rnacentral:tRNA from 1 species
GGUGGCUCAGUGGUAGAGUGCUUGCCUUGCAUGCAUGAGGACCUGGGUUCGAUUCCUUAGUACCA